UGUUUGAGCAGACAUUAGACUGGUCCCUAAAAAUCCAGUGCACUCUACCACGACCACGACACACGACAACAUCACGAUGCCUGGGCGGCGCACACAUGAUGAACUGUGUCGUGUCAAAAAGCAAUGUUUUUGGCAUCCUCCAACUCAGCUCGUCGGAUGAGUACAUGUGGAGGCCGCGCAACUGGUCGGACUUGUCGAUGCCGAGGAUCAUCACUGUGAAAAAGGUCAAGGAUCCUGCGGAUAGCGGUGGAAGUGACUGUGUGCUCGAGGAGGAGCCCGAGAAACCCAGCUCCUCAACUCCUCUUUUUUGCAUUGAGAUCUUCACCAACUUUUGUUCGUAAACUCCUGGAGUUGGACUGUUCGGCCCAAAUCCGGGCAUGGAGUUGAUGGAGCCAGAAGCUAGAGGAAGUGGUUCAAACACCUUGUCCCGUACCUGGUUGUCCUGUGUGGUAAUGACUUCGUGAGAGAAUUUGGUCCUAACGGUAGGCUAACAGUGAUUGGGUGAGUUUGUCUUGGCCGAAUGGUCACUUACAAGGAAGGACAAAUGUAUGGAUCAAGGCAACUCAGGUGGCGCCACAUAUUCGAUGUGCGCUUUGUGCUUGCAUUGAUGUACAACUCCUAUAGCCUGGACUUCGAUUACACGAAUACAAUGAUGAGCUUUGAGGUGCUUGGCUACAUGCUUGAGUGGACCAAGAAGCUGAUGCUCCAAGUGCCAUCCAUGAAUCUGUGCUCUCUUUAUGUUGUUGAUGUUGAGUAAAAGGCACUACUCGUGAUGGACCCAUGCGAGACAUCCAAAGACAAAGAUGACAUGAAGCUCAAGCAUGAAGACAACGCAAACAUCAUCCUGGAGGGACUCUAUCGCUGCAUCCAUGCAAACAUAUCAGGGUGGUAUGUGCCAUCUUUAGGUUGUAAGAUGCUCUACAAUGUGGGGAUGCAUCACAGCUCUGAAAUCCAGGACAACCACCUACAUGUGGGAAAUUACAUCAGGGAGUUCACAAAUCUGUACAUCUACAAUCCUCUCACACCGGAACACGCAGUGGUCCUGAUGCUCUCAUUUGUAAGAACUUCUAUGAAGUGCACUAGUGAUGCUAAUAGAGUGUUGCAGAUUUCAGAACUGCCUCCACUACUUUCUUCGGUUGAUUGCUUAUGAGGUGCAACAGGGAUGAGCUACCAGAUUUCAUGCUUCAGGUGGUGCCAUUCUGAAGUAAAAGGUCACUUGGGAUAGGAAAAAAAGAUACAGUGAAUCAACCAGUGCAUGCUGUGAGGGGAUUCUUAGUUGCCAUACCAAUAGCUAAGGCAGUGUGGUAGUGGUUCCCAGGUGAUUCCAGUUUGUGCAAAUUCUAUGUAUUUUGGGCAUCUCGACUUGUGCAAGACUAAUUCCAUCGAAGCGGUGCAUCCUGGAUGGAAAUGUUAACUGCCAUCCCUAUAGCGAAGACGGUGUGGUAGUGGUUUCCAAGCUAUCCUAGUUUGUGCCCAUGUUAUGUAUUAUGAGCAUCUGAAGCACUCAAGACCAUGCGUAGACAUGUUUAAGUCCGUCUUCAGACCUAGUUAAGAAACUUAUGUGUGGAACCUAUCUAUGGUACCAUAAAGUUUGGUUGUUGAGUGCAUGAUUCAUGUUUAUAUAUUAAGUUAGAUUGGUGAAGACGAAUGCUGCCUUUUUGCAUUGCGUUGUUGCAUUUGGACUGUUUUAUGUUAGCAAAGCCAAAACACUCAGGUAAACAUCAGUGAUAGAAUUUUUCUAAAAUU